GAUGAACGCUGGCGGCGUGCCUAAUACAUGCAAGUCGAGCGAACGGACGAGAAGCUUGCUUCUCUGAUGUUAGCGGCGGACGGGUGAGUAACACGUGGAUAACCUACCUAUAAGACUGGGAUAACUUCGGGAAACCGGAGCUAAUACCGGAUGAGAUUUUGAACCGCAUGGUUCAAAAGUGAAAGACGGUCUUGCUGUCACUUAUAGAUGGAUCCGCGCUGCAUUAGCUAGUUGGUAAGGUAACGGCUUACCAAGGCAACGAUGCAUAGCCGACCUGAGAGGGUGAUCGGCCACACUGGAACUGAGACACGGUCCAGACUCCUACGGGAGGCAGCAGUAGGGAAUCUUCCGCAAUGGGCGAAAGCCUGACGGAGCAACGCCGCGUGAGUGAUGAAGGUCUUCGGAUCGUAAAACUCUGUUAUUAGGGAAGAACAUAUGUGUAAGUAACUGUGCACAUCUUGACGGUACCUAAUCAGAAAGCCACGGCUAACUACGU
rnacentral:rRNA from 1 species